rnacentral:tRNA from 1 species
GCCGGGGGGCCGUCCGGUUCGGGGGCGGGGGUGCCGACCUCGGCGGUGAGGGUGUCGAUGCCGGUGGUGCGCAGCCACUGCUCGGCCC